rnacentral:lncRNA from 1 species
GAGGUUAACCAUAAAAUAUAAACUAAGUGAGAAUCCACUUUUAUUUCAAAUGUCUUGUCGAAGCAAAGCCCAUAUUUAAUACCGGGUUCUAAAUAUUUUCCUUAAAGCUAAGUGGCGAAGAUCAAAUGGAGUUGUGUGAUAUGUGUGUUCAUCAAUCGUCAACGAAUUAAUAUAACAAAACCUAAAAACUAUUGUUGUUUCGUGUUUAAUUAUUUACUUUCCGAAAUUUAUGUAGAACAUUCGUUACUGAUGCGUGGAGUUACCAUAUGAUGGAUUGGAUUCCAACAUUAAUAUGAAAUUUAGGGAAGCCAAAUCCUCGUACCAAGGCGGGAAACAAUAGAAAAAUAUAGUGAAAUGAACAAGUCAACGAUGAACUCAUGCAGAUGGAGAAAUAACGAAAUAUGCAGUAGUGAGGUCAAUGAGAUAUUAUUCAAUGUCGCUGGUUUAGGAAAAAAUAGCUAUUGUGAUUCGAGGGAGUUGGUAAGAUAGAUGUUAAAGUCAAACACCAACUCCUUUGUUGUACCGAAAUAAACAACAUUUUCAGAUCGCUCGAUGAUUAUAUUACCUGCAAAACUUUGUUACAUUUAAUGUUUUUGUACAAUA